AAAAAGGGUGUUUGCCUCUUCGAUGGCACACGCACCGGCAACGGUGCGUGGGGUAUGGUUAUCAAGACAUACUCAACAUAUUAUUUUUUGAUCAGAGAGGCAGUUGGCUAUCCUUAUGUACCGGCGCCUCC